rnacentral:lncRNA from 1 species
ACUCAGCUGACUUUAACAUAGGCAGAGCACCCAGGGUUAUCCAGGUGGAUCCAAUUUCAUUGCAAGAGUACUUAAAAGUAGAAGAAGACAGAAGAGUGAGUCAAAGAAGGAUGUGAGCACUGAAGAAAGGCACAGAGAGAUGCAACACUGCUGUUAUUGAAAAUGGAGGAAGGGAGCUGUGAGUCAAGGUGUGUGGGCAUUAUCUGGAAGCUGGAAAGGGCAGGGAAAGAGCUUAUCCCCUAGAGACUACAGAAAGGAGGGCAGCAUCUGCUGAUACCUUCAGUUUCUUUUAGCCCAGUGAGACCAGCGUUGGACUUUUUUGUAAAGAACUAUAAGCCCCCCGGUACAUAGUUGUGUAUUCUUCGUUGCGGGUUCUUCUAGUUGUGGCAUGUGGGACGCUGCCUCAGCGUGGUCUGAUGAGCAGUGCCAUGUCCGCGCCCAGGAUUCGAACUAACGAAACACUGGGCCGCCUGCAGCGGAGGGCGCGAACUUAACCAUUCGGCCACGGGGCCAGCCCCUAACAUCUAUCUUUAAUAGAGUAAAAUAAAACAUAUAUUUGAACCCAAAACUAUUCUCCUAUGGAACUUUACAAACUAUUUUUUACUGAAAAUGUUAAAUGAUUAUAUCUUCCAGGCCUGAUGCUUCCAAAUGACAUUCACCAGAUAAAUUUUUGUGGAUAUAUUAUGUUAUAAAGCACAAAGCUGCUAACACAUUGCAGUUUUUCAUGUAAUCAAUUCUAUGUCAUAAUUUGUAAGUAUGUGUGGUUGAGGAGUUUUUUUGGGGGAAGCAUGCAGCCAGUAAAAUCACUUCUAUAUUUCUCUCUGUGGUGGAAAUGCCAAUCUUAAAAAUGGCUCGUUACAACUAAAGGAACAAAAUCAAAACACAGUUCGGUCAAAUCACUAAAAAACAAAGCAUACAUGGUAUUUCAUUCACACAGGGCAUCUAAUUGUUUAUGGAAAAUGGGGCCAUAAUUUCCAAUCUGUGGAUGCAGAAUCACUUUUAUGAGCUGUUUUCCCAUGGAAUGGACUUAAAAACUUUAAGAAAAAUAUAGACAGCAGUGUUGACUAACUUUUCUAUUAUUUAUUUAACUACUAUUUAAGUGCAUUAUUUCUAUUAAG